rnacentral:rRNA from 1 species
AUGAUACUUAUCGUCACAACCAGCCUAAAGCCAUGCUGCCAUGCCAUGGCCACCGCCAUGAAUGAUUGGAUGAAUCAGAGGGAAAGCUACCAGCGAGCCCAAGAAAGAAGCGAGGUGUGUAAGCCUUCUCUUCUCCCAAUGCCAAUGCACGAAUUGAAGCGGAGUGGAGGAGCUGCAUGCAUGCCGAUUGUUGUAUACACUAGAAUCACUGUCCAUUUAUUUCGUGGCUCCCUAGAGAUUCUCGGCGGAAGAGACAAGAGCAUACAUAGUGGAUGGGAUGGAGCGCAGGCGCGGCGCAGGGAAGAUCAAAGGAAAGGAGGAAAAGAAUUGAAGGCGCGCAUUUGCCUGCAUUCGAGGUUGAUGCAGCCUUCUUCUUGGACGGACGGCCGUCCAGCAAUGGGGUCCUGUAAACUGUUGUGUGUCAUUCAUGCCUGUCGACCCGGCCGGCGUCUUGCCUGCGCCUGUGCACUGCAACUGCAUACAUAG